AUUUAAGUAGUUUAUUAAAAAUUAUAGUUUGUGGGACUAUAGAUAUCUAAGGAUCUUAAAUA
rnacentral:tRNA from 1 species